AAGACUAUAGACCUGCGGAGUACCUGCGGAAGGAUCAUUAACGUAUCUAUGAUGGGGUGCGGAGCGCCCUGCUCCGGUCGAACGGCCGUGCAGUGAGUGCGCCGCCCCCGUCCCACCUCACAAACCCACUGUGAACAUUCACCGGUGGAGGGGGCUCGGUCUGCGCCGUGUCCCCGAUGCCGAAUACCCAAACUCCAGUUGCAAAGAACGUCGUGCGGACUCGGUGCCGCCUAAAACAUG
rnacentral:misc_RNA from 1 species